UGUGGCAAUUCCUCAGCCACCAGCACCUCAGGAGGGGGACCGGCAGAGGCCUCCAAAGACGUAAGAGCCCUCGCCAGACGAUGAGAAAAGAAGGAACUAUGGUGGGGUAUAUGUGGGUCUGCCAGCAGAUCUGACUACAGUGGCUGCUAG